UACGGAGGAUGCGAGCGUUAUCCGGAUUUAUUGGGUUUAAAGGGUGCGUAGGCGGACUGUUAAGUCAGCGGUAAAAGCCCGGGGCUCAACCCCGACGAGCCGUUGAAACUGGCUGUCUUGAGAUGUCGAGAGGUAUGCGGAAUGCGCAGUGUAGCGGUGAAAUGCUUAGAUAUUGCGCAGAACUCCGAUUGCGAAGGCAGCAUACCGGCGGCGGUCUGACGCUGAGGCACGAAAGCGUGGGUAUCGAACAGG
rnacentral:rRNA from 1 species